rnacentral:misc_RNA from 1 species
AUUAGGUAUAUUUUCCAAUGAUUUUAAAUUUAAAUCGACGGUGGUUGAACUAGAUUAUCCAGGAAUAUUUGUGUAAUGGUUCAGGUUACCCAUUAAACCUGAACUGGAUCAAAAAUGGUCAACCCCACAGUUCAACCAUGGCUCAAACAAACCAGGCAAUAGUUUUGAGCAGUUUGGUCUUGAUUGAGAUGGCAUGCUAGAAAUUUGCCUCACAUUGAAAAAAUGUGAUGUUCUUUUAGUGGCAACAGGGACUUAAACUCAGCUUGAAGGUGUAUCAAAUACUACAAUUACUAUGAUCUUUGGGUAAAUUAUAAUUUGACCCCCAAGAUUUGGCAGAAAUCACAACUAAAUCCUUGUGUUUUAAAUUUUAAAUAAUUCUGACUCAG